rnacentral:rRNA from 1 species
GGAGGAAAAGAAACCAACCGGGAUUGCCUUAGUAACGGCGAGUGAAGCGGCAAAAGCUCAAAUUUGAAAUCUGGUACCUUCGGUGCCCGAGUUGUAAUUUGGAGAGGGCAACUUUGGGGCCGUUCCUUGUCUAUGUUCCUUGGAACAGGACGUCAUAGAGGGUGAGAAUCCCGUGUGGCGAGGAGUGCGGUUCUUUGUAAAGUGCCCUCGAAGAGUCGAGUUGUUUGGGAAUGCAGCUCUAAGUGGGUGGUAAAUUCCAUCUAAAGCUAAAUAUUGGCGAGAGACCGAUAGCGAACAAGUACAGUGAUGGAAAGAUGAAAAGAACUUUGAAAAGAGAGUGAAAAAGUACGUGAAAUUGUUGAAAGGGAAGGGCAUUUGAUCAGACAUGGUGUUUUGUGCCCUCUGCUCCUUGUGGGUAGGGGAAUCUCGCAUUUCACUGGGCCAGCAUCAGUUUUGGUGGCAGGAUAAAUCCAUAGGAAUGUAGCUUGCCUCGGUAAGUAUUAUAGCCUGUUGGGAAUACUGCCAGCUGGGACUGAGGACUGCGACGUAAGUCAAGGAUGCUGGCAUAAUGNUAUAUGCCGCCC